rnacentral:rRNA from 1 species
GACGAACGCUGGCGGCGUGGAUUAGGCAUGCAAGUCGAACGGUAUCAUCCUUUCGGGGGUGAGAGAGUGGCGAACUGGUGAGUAACACGUAGGUUAUCUACCCUCAAGACGGGGACAACCCAGGGAAACUUGGGCUAAUACCGGAUGUGAGCAACUUUUAGUUGUUUGAAAGGUGGCGUAAGCUGUCGCUUGGGGAUGAGCCUGCGUCCUAUUAGUUAGUUGGUGAGGUAACGGCUCACCUAGGCAAUGAUAGGUAGGCGGCCUUAACGGGUGGUCGCCCACACUGGGAUUGAGAUGCGGCCCAGACUCCUACGGGAGGCAGCAGUCGAGAAUAGUCUACAAUGGUCGGAAGACUGAUAGUGCGACGCCGCGUGAACGAUGAAUCCCUUCGGGGUGUAAAGUUCUUUUAUAUGUGAGCAGUGCUUCUUAUAUUAACAGUAUGGGGAGAGAGAUAUUAGCAUAUGAAUAAGCAACGGCUAACUCCGUGCCAGCAGCCGCGGU